UGAGUAACACGUAUCCAACCUGCCGUCUACUCUUGGACAGCCUUCUGAAAGGAAGAUUAAUACAAGAUGGCAUCAUGAGUCCACAUGUUCACAUGAUUAAAGGUAUUCCGGUAGACGAUGGGGAUGCGUUCCAUUAGAUAGUAGGCGGGGUAACGGCCCACCUAGUCUUCGAUGGAUAGGGGUUCUGAGAGGAAGGUCCCCCACAUUGGAACUGAGACACGGACCAA
rnacentral:rRNA from 1 species